GCUCCAAAUUUGCAAGUUCCAGUCUUCAAGUAGUACUGUAAAAUUACUAAAAUCAUUCAGUUUGUGAGCUAAAUAGGUUAAAGGGAGUUAGCGGAGACAAAUGGAAAGUUACCACACCAAAGCUCGUGCAAAAAGCAUGACUUCAACAGCCAGAAAAUAAACUGAACUCUAAAUAGGUUAAAGGGAAUUAGCGGAGACAAAUGGAAAGUUACCACACCAAAGCUCGUGCAAAAAGCAUGACUUCAACAGCCAGAAAAUAAACUGAACUUAAGAAAGAUGAUCAUAUUUAAUGCUUGACUGCUUUAACUCUAAAAACUAGUCACUCCAGAUACAAGCAUCAUUUUUGAGUCUCCAGAUACUGCUCUGAUUCACUAAAACUCCAAAAAUGAGAGAACUUUUGAACUAUUAAAAAGCAUCUUAAAUUAACAUUUAAAAGAGAAUAGGCUCUCUAUUUAAAGAAUCGUCUUGACAAAUUUUCUGAUUUAAAUUUAAAUUUCCUUUUUGUAAAAAUCUAGCCUCAAGCUAGUUUAAAAUUGAGCCUAUUUGUUGUUGUUCCAUUUGUAUCAAUAGAUGUUAUUACACUGCUAUUCAUUUCCUAUAUGAUCAGCAGAUAAAGACAUAUUGGAUCUGG
rnacentral:lncRNA from 1 species